GGUUGACCUCGGAUCAGGUAGGGAUACCCGCUGAACUUAAGCAUAUCAAUAAGCGGAGGAAAAGAAACCAACAGGGAUUGCCUCAGUAACGGCGAGUGAAGCGGCAACAGCUCAAAUUUGAAAUCUGGCCCCGUAUGGGGUCCGAGUUGUAAUUUGUAGAGGAUGCUUCGGGCAAGGCUGUGGUCUAAUUCGCUUGGAACAGCGAGUCACAGAGGGUGAGAAUCCCGUCUAGGAUCGUGGGUCGCGUCCAUGUGAAGCUCCUUCGACGAGUCGAGUUGUUUGGGAAUGCAGCUCUAAAUGGGUGGUAAAUUUCAUCUAAAGCUAAAUAUGGGCCAGAGACCGAUAGCGCACAAGUAGAGUGAUCGAAAGAUGAAAAGCACUUUGAAAAGAGAGUUAAACAGUAUGUGAAAUUGUUGAAAGGGAAGCGCUUGCAACCAGACUUGUGACUGACGGUUCCCCCGGCCUUCUGGGCCGGGUUACUCCGUCACGUCCAGGCCAACAUCGGUUUGGGUGGUCGGUGAAAGACCUCGGGAAUGUAUCUACCUCCGGGUCGACUUAUAGCCCGGGGUGGAAUGCGGCCCACCCGGACCGAGGAACGCGCUUCGGCUCGGAUGUUGGCGUAAUGGUUGUAAGCGGCCCGUCUUGAAACACGGACCAAGGAGUCUAACAUCUAUGCGAGUGUUUGGGUGUCAAACCCCUACGCGGAAUGAAAGUGAACGGUGGUAAGAACCCCGUCAGGGGCGCAUUAUCGACCGAUCCUGAUGUCUUCGGAUGGAUUUGAGUAAGAGCAUAGCUGUUGGGACCCGAAAGAUGGUGAACUAUGCAUGAAUAGGGUGAAGCCAGAGGAAACUCUGGUGGAGGCUCGCAGCGGUUCUGACGUGCAAAUCGAUCGUCAAAUUUGUGCAUAGGGGCGAAAGACUAAUCGAACCAUGGUUAAAGCGCACCUAUAAGGUGUCCACAGAGGGCCUGUUAGGUGCUUAUCAGGUGGUUCUCCACCAGUCCUACGGGGCAACAUCGUCCUUCUGGCGGGGAAUCAACACCCGCAGCAGCUUGGUUAUAGCUGUCCACAGACUAGGAGACGGUGGUCAUCUUGACCCG
rnacentral:rRNA from 2 species